rnacentral:rRNA from 1 species
CUGGCUCAGGAUGAACGCUAGCGACAGGCCUAACACAUGCAAGGUCGAGGGGCAGCGCGGGAGAAGCUUGCUUUCCUGGCGGCGACCGGCGCACGGGUGCGUAACAGGUGUGCAAUCUGUCCAUAGUCGGGGGAUAGCCCAGCGAAAGCUGAAUUAACACUCCAUGUGAAUCGAAGCCGCAUGACUUUGAUUUGAAACGCAAGGACUAUGGGUGAGCACGCUUCUGAUUAGGUAGUUGGUGGGGUAACGGCCCACCAAGCCGACGAUCAGUAGGGUUCUGAGAGGAAGGUCCCCCCACAUUGGAACUGAGACACGGUCCAAACUCCUACGGGAGGCAGCAGUGAGGAAUAUUGGUCAAUGGGCGAGAGCCUGAACCAGCCAAGUCGCGUUGAAGGAUGAAGGUUCUAUGGAUUGUAAACUUCUUUUGUCCGAGGGUAAAAAAGGUCACGUGUGACUUCUUGCAAGUAUCGGACGAAUAAGCAUCGGCUAACUCCGUGCCAGCCGCCGC